rnacentral:lncRNA from 1 species
GGAAAAUGUGAUUUAACUCAUGCUCUGAAGAAUGAAUGCAUCUCAUUUGUAAGUAAAGAGAUAAAUGAAACGGCUUGGAUUUCUUUGUCUUUCUUAUUGCCAAGAUUAAUAAUUUUUUCAAUUUAAAAAUACCUUCUUACAGUAGCAUGUGUUUUGUUCUUAUAUUUCUUUUCAAUGCUAUCCAAAAUGAGUUCUAAUUUGGAAACAUUUAUAUUUGACUUAAUCUUCUUAUAUUUAAUUGUCAGGAGCGGGUUGAAAGCUACUCUAACUUAAACAUCCUUUCAAAGAGCCCUGAGAACUGUGUAUGCCAGGCUUGUGGGCUGCAUCGCCACUGUAAAUUUUCAGUGCAUCUCUCAGGAAAGUUAUACAACAUCAGGACGAUGGAAACAGAUGAUUUCAUGUCACAUGACAAGCAGGUGUUUACUGUUGGCAGAAUUUGUGUUGAACGUACCAGAAUUUAUCAUAAACUAAAGCAUUUUAAAUUUAAACUGUACCAAGACUGCUGCUUAAUUGCAAAACCAGAAGAAGUUGGAGAUGAACAGGUUAAAGAUACAGUAAAGAGAGUCUUCAAUCAUUCAAAAGAAAGAGGCUGGAUUAGAAAGGUAAGGUUGUAGACUGCCUUGUUCUGCAGAGUCUGAAGGCUUAAGUAUGGCUGUUCUUAUGUUUCCUCUUCUGCUGCCUAUUCCCUCCAUGUUUAUCACUGCUCUCUUCUGAAUAGAUGCCCUGAUGUUCCAUGAAUUCUCUCACCUCAUUGUAUAGGUUAUAUUGAACAAUAAUACUGACAAAAGGUCUCUGUUCUUUGUCUUUUAUGUGUAUAAGCCUUACUUGUAUAUUAAGUCACUUUUCUUGUUACUGUGAUAAAAUGCCAUGACAUAAGUAUCUUAAGAGAAAGGGGACUAUUCUGGCUUACAGGUAUGUGCUAGUCUAACGCGGUGAGGAAGACCUUGAGGCAGCUGGUUGCCUUUCAAAAUCAAGAAGCAAAGAGAGAUUAAUUCUUCUGUUCAGCUAAUUUUCUCUUUAUGCAGUCCAGGACCCAAGUGGAGAAAAUCUUGCCACCUACUUCUGGGGUGGCUUUUCUACCAUAAUUAGCCUAGAUUAUGCCUCAAAGGCAUUCCUAGAGACUUGUCUCCUAGAUAAUUCUAGGUCCUGUCAAACUGGGAAUCAAAAUUAACUAUUAUAUUCCAGGGUGCUUUUUCAUGUGUGGUGUUGGAUGCAAAGUAUAGGACUCACCUUUGCUUGCCUGGUUUCUUCUUUAGUCCCUUUGAUCUAAGACUCAAGAAGCAUCUACUGUCAGUCUGAGGAAAGGGUCCUCAUCACCCAUUUUAAUAUAGCCACAUCCUCUUCUUGAGGACAUGGGGCUGAGUGGUCCGCACUUGUAGGGCUGUGAUAGGUAGCCUGGUUUCUGGUUGAGCUAAGGUUUGAAACCCCGGUGACCCUGCAGGGGACGGUAGGCGUUUUGCCAUGCUCCUGGACACCAGGCUCCUGGCACAAGGCCACAGGUCUGCAUAGGUCUGUGGCCAUCAAUCACAUAAGGGCAACACCCCAAGCCCCUCAACAGGUAAAGGACGUGACCACAGGUCACACAGCCUCAAGACAGAUCUUCAUUUCAAUGAGGUACCUAAAGGCCUGGAGGCUUGGCCAAUAAACUCCCCUUUCCAGACAUUCCUCCCUGCAAAAGGUAUUUAACCUCAGGCCUGCCCUAAGAAAAUGGGGUAUGGUUUCACUCAACACCACUCUCCACCAUGACAACAAAUGCCUUAAAACCAUAGACUGCCUCUUUUUACCGGGAUCCACCAUGGAGAGCAAUGGAGCAGGUCUUCGCCUAAAGAACCAGUGGUCUAGAUAGCAGGAGGCCUCUCAGCACUCCCAGCCCAGCCUUCACCAAGCCAAACCAGCUGGGAGCACUCCCCUCUUUUCCUUUUUGGCCCUGGGCUGGGCUAGAUCCAGCCCUCGGGCCCCUACUCUGUUCUUAGCUCUUCCACUGCUCCCAGCAGUCAAGAGCAUGAAAACAAGGUGGUCCUGGCCUCUGCACAAGCUUGGGGACCCCCUGAGUCAGCUCCAGAAGUCCUUGGGACCUCAGACUACACUCCCCCACCCUUAAUUGGUAAGUGGUGGUAAUUGGCCUUACUUGGGUAAGUGUUGUCCAGUAGCUUCACAUAACUCAACACCUGCCCAGUGUAAGCAUGGGGUAAGCGUAGUCAAGACUCCCUCAUCCUGCUCCACCAUGAACAUGGGAGACCCCACAACCCAACAGGCACUGUGACUAGAAAUGGAAGGGAGCACCGAGGCUUCAGCUGUGAAACUUACUUUGACUUCCCUGUACCUUGAUAGUCACUGAAUUUGAUGUCAGGAGUAAAGCGGGCAUUCUAAAGAGGCCAGUAGAACCCUAAGACCUCCUGGCAGCACAGAAGCUCUGCUCUGCUCACAGAGCCCUUAGAAUUAGGUUGUGGAAAGAAUCCUUAUGAUAGUAGUUUUCUAAAACAGGUUUAGUCCUACAGACACACACACACACACACACACACACACACACACACACACACACACACAAAGCAAAGAGAAAUUACUCAGGAAAUUUGGAUCAAUGAUGUAUUUCAUCCUGC